UGUCAACAUGGUUCCUCCGGUCGCAGUGUCGCCGCUUAUCAAGACGGCCAGAUGGUCCGCGCUGCUGCUCGGCGUGUUCUACGGCAAGCAGAGGUUUGAAUACCUGAAGCCCAUAGCAGAGGAGGAGAGGAGGGUCGAGGAGGCAGAGAAGAAGGCCCGAGAGGAGCAGGAGCGCAUCUACAAACAGCUGUCUGAAGCCAACUCCGACACCAUCCUCAAAUGAACCACUUCUGGACCUGUGUUAUAUUCCAAAUUAAAUAAAAACUGAAAAUAUUUUUCAUGUAA